CAGCCGCCGCGGUAAUACGAAGGGUGCAAGCGUUACUCGGAAUUACUGGGCGUAAAGCGUGCGUAGGUGGUGGUUUAAGUCCGUUGUGAAAGCCCUGGGCUCAACCUGGGAAUUGCAGUGGAUACUGGAUCACUAGAGUGUGGUAGAGGAUAGUGGAAUUUCCGGUGUAGCAGUGAAAUGCGUAGAGAUCGGAAGGAACAUCUGUGGCGAAGGCGACUAUCUGGGCCAACACUGACACUGAGGCACGAAAGCGUGGGGAGCAAACAGGAUUAGAUACCCCGGUAGUCCCUGUCUCUUAUAC
rnacentral:rRNA from 1 species